rnacentral:rRNA from 1 species
GAGCGAUGAAGGCCUUCGGGUCGUAAAGCUCUGUCCUAAGGGAAGAAUAAUGACGGUACCUUAGGAGGAAGCCCCGGCUAACUACGUGCCAGCAGCCGCGGUAAUACGUAGGGGGCGAGCGUUAUCCGGAAUCACUGGGCGUAAAGGGUGCGUAGGCGGCCAAUAAAGUCUGGGGUGAAAGGCUACGGCUUAACCGUAGUAAGCCUUGGAAACUUAUUGGCUUGAGUGCAGGAGAGGAGAGUGGAAUUCCUAGUGUAGCGGUGAAAUGCGUAGAUAUUAGGAGGAACACCAGUGGCGAAGGCGACUCUCUGGACUGUAACUGACGCUGAGGCACGAAAGCGUGGGGAGCGAACAGGAUUAGAUACCCUGGUAGUCCACGCCGUAAACGAUGAGUGCUAGGUGUCGGGGGUCGAACCUCGGUGCCGCAGCUAACGCAUUAAGCACUCCGCCUGGGGAGUACGGUCGCAAGACUGAAACUCAAAGGAAUUGACGGA